rnacentral:rRNA from 1 species
GAUGAACGCUGGCGGCGUGCCUAAUACAUGCAAGUCGAACGCACAGCGAAAGGUGCUUGCACCUUUCAAGUGAGUGGCGAACGGGUGAGUAACACGUGGAUAACCUACCUCAAGGUUGGGGAUAACAUUUGGAAACAGAUGCUAAUACCGAAUAAAACUUAGUAUCGCAUGAUACCAGGUUAAAAGGCGCUACGGCGUCACCUAGAGAUGGAUCCGCGGUGCAUUAGUUAGUUGGUGGGUAAAGGCUUACCAAGACAAUGAUGCAUAGCCGAGUUGAGAGACUGAUCGGCCACAUUGGGACUGAGACACGGCCCAAACUCCUACGGGAGGCUGCAGUAGGGAAUCUUCCACAAUGGGCGAAAGCCUGAUGGAGCAACGCGCGUGUGUGAUGAAGGCUUUCGGGUCGUAAAGCACUGUUGUAUGGAAGAACAGCUAGAGUAGGGAAUGAC